AUGAUGAUUUAGAUAAUUUUAUGUUUAUGGUUUAAACCGAAAUAUAAUGUGGAUAUUUUUCUAGGGCGGUCUGAUUUU